CCCUUAGAUGUUCUGGGCCGCACGCGCGCUACACUGAUGCAUUCAACGAGUCUACAACCUGGUCUGAUAGGGCUGGGUAAUCUUUUGAAUGUGCAUCGUGAUUGGGAUAGAUGAUUGCAAUUCUUCAUCUUCAACGAGGAAUGCCUAGUAAACGCAAGUCAUCAGCUUGCAUUGAUUACGUCCCUGCCCUUUGUACACACCGCCCGUCGCUCCUACCGAUUGAAUGUUCCGAUGAAUACCAUGGACUGAGAGUAUGAAUGGGUUCGCCUAUUUCUGCUUCUCGGGAAGUGGAGUAAAUCUUAACAUUUAGAGGAAGGAGAAGUCGUAACA
rnacentral:rRNA from 1 species